UCGCGAUAAGGGCAAACCCUGAGUGAUCAGGGGGCGCAAAGUAAUAGGAUCUUCUUAAUACAAUA
rnacentral:ncRNA from 1 species